rnacentral:rRNA from 1 species
GAUGAACGCUGGCGGCGUGCUUAACACAUGCAAGUCGAACGAGAAGUGGAGACGGAAACCUUCGGGCGGAAGACUUUAUUUCGAGUGGCGGACGGGUGAGUAACGCGUGGGUAACCUGCCUCAUACAGGGGGAUAACAGUUGGAAACGACUGUUAAUACCGCAUAAGACCACAGCACCGCAUGGUGCGGGGGUAAAAACUCCGGUGGUAUGAGAUGGACCCGCGUUCGAUUAGCCAGUUGGCGGGGUAACGGCCCACCAAAGCGACGAUCGAUAGCCGAUCUGAGAGGAUGACCGGCCACAUUGGGACUGAGACACGGCCCAAACUCCUACGGGAGGCAGCAGUGGGGAAUAUUGCACAAUGGGGGAAACCGUGAUGCAGCGACGCCGCGUGAGUGAAGAAGUAUUUCGGUAUGUAAAGCUCUAUCAGCAGGGAAGAAAAUGACGGUACCUGAGUAAGAAGCCCCGGCUAACUACGUG